rnacentral:rRNA from 1 species
GUGAGGAAUUUUGCGCAAUGGGGGAAACCCUGACGCAGCAACGCCGCGUGAGUGAUGAAGGCCUUCGGGUCGUAAAGCUCUGUCAAGUGGGAAGAAAAUACAAAAUGCCAAUACCAUUUUGUACUGACGGUACCACUGAAGGAAGCACCGGCUAACUCCGUGCCAGCAGCCGCGGUAAUACGGGGGGUGCAAGCGUUAUUCGGAAUUAUUGGGCGUAAAGAGCGCGUAGGCGGUCUCUUAAGUCAGAUGUGAAAGCCCUGGGCUCAACCCCGGAAGUGCAUUUGAAACUAAGAGACUUGAGUAUGGGAGAGGGAAGUGGAAUUCCUGGUGUAGAGGUGAAAUUCGUAGAUAUCAGGAGGAACACCGGUGGCGAAGGCGACUUCCUGGACCAAUACUGACGCUGAGGCGCGAAGGCGUGGGGAGCAAACAGGAUUAGAUACCCGAGUAGUCC